rnacentral:rRNA from 1 species
UACGGAGGGUGCAAGCGUUAAUCGGAAUUACUGGGCGUAAAGCGCACGCAGGUGGCUGAGUCAGUCGAUUGUGAAAGCCCUGGGCUCAACCUGGGAAUGGCAUUGGAAACUGGCGACCUAGAGUGCGGUAGAGGGUAGUGGAAUUCCCGGUGUAGCAGUGAAAUGCGUAGAGAUCGGGAGGAACAUCCGUGGCGAAGGCGACUACCUGGACCAGCACUGACACUGAGGCACGGAAAGCGUGGGAGCAAACAGG